AGGUAAUGUUUUUUCAGAC
rnacentral:misc_RNA from 1 species